GCAUCGGCGCUACUGCAUGUUGCCAACGCCCUAGGCUGUCAAGUUGCCAGCCGCACUCGGCCAGAUUGCAGUUGACCGUUGCCGACUCCACAAUUCAGUUCGGCAAAGCAAAGUAAAUAGGGAGAGUCUCCGUUGAAGCUUCGUGCCAAAAGCGGAAAAAGCAAAACCGAAUUGCCAGCACAGAUUCCGGACUCGGCUCUAGUCUUCUUGUUGGAUGGGUAGACCCUAUUCCGUUAGUGAGCUACUUUUUUUUUUAAGUAGCUACAGGAAGACAGUCUACUUUUCGUCUUUUGAGACUUGGUAAAUCUGCCUUUUGUCCUUGAUCAUUGUCUCCGAAAUCAAUAAUGGGGAGCACAAUCACCCAUGUGGCCAACGCCUCGGGGAUGCCCAUCCGGGUUUACUACAGCGUGGAUCAAAUGCGGCUGGAGGAGCUGGUGAUGGAAGUUAAUGUCAGAGGGGAAGCCACUGGGAUUAGAGAAGCGAGCCAAUCAACAAAGAUGAUUUUCAAAGCCGACUCCCGUGUCCGCUUCAUACUUAUUCCGGCAAAAGAGUUCGGCAAAAUUAUAGAAAGAGGGCCACUUUACGUCACCGUCUUUUUGGAGAGCAACGACUCCAGUAAUGAAUGCCUGAAGUCCAUCGCGGAGAAUUUCUGCAUCCCCAAUAACAGGUCCUUUAUUGUGACGAAAAAAGGCCACAUAAAGUGGCAGAAAUAUGGGGAAAACAUUUGGGAAGAUGAGCAAGGCAACAGACACUAGCUAUUAUCUAGCUGUUGCUAUUAAGUAGAGCAACGUUGAGUAUUCAAUAAGGAUAGGAAUCAGAUAAUAUGAAUGUUUUUAAAUUUACAGUUUUUCUCCCUGCCACUGAGAAGUACUUCACAUUAUUAUUUUUUUAAUUAACGGGUUCAAUAAAUGACCAAUAGGUGGCGGUGGUGCACUUUGCACAGUUGUCUCUUCAUACUCAAUGAAUAAACGUCAAAGAUACAGUCCCCAAAUCCUGAUGAAAGGUUGCUGAUAUGUAUGUUUUUUUUUUGUUUUUUUGGAGCACACACACUGGAUGGAUAGCUAAAGGAAUGUGAUGGGAAUUUCGCUGAAUUGCAUGUAGAGUGGUGUAUUUCUCAUUCAAAAAGUUCAAAUGGAAUCAAUUUAACAAUAUGGAAAUAGUUUUUCAAACAAACUACAGCAUUACAAACAGGUUAAAAAUAUUGACUUAGGAAGUAGAGUAAGACAUCGAAGAG
ensembl:lncRNA